ACACGGUAGUCGCUGUCCGCAGAAGUCACGGAGGCUGGCGGUUUGGACAGCUGUGUGCGGUGCCAAAACAGAUGGGGGAGAUUUUGAACGAUUUCUUUUCAGCGGUAUUCACUUAGGAGAAGGAUAUUGAAUUGUAUAAGGUCGGCUAACUAUGGAGAAUUCUAAAAAAAAAGAAAAGUGACUGAAGAAAACAGAACGUUUAAUGAUACGUGGGCAGAUUCAUUUGCUUUCACUGCUGAUGAGACUGGUUUACCGGUAUGCUUAAUAUGCAAUGAGAAACUAGCAAACAACAAAAAAUCAAAUGUCGCAAGACAUUUCCAGAAUAAACACGCAGCCUUUGCUCAAAAAUAUCCGGAUGGAGAUGAGAGAAAAAAAGCCAUUUCGGAACUGAUGCGGAAGGUUGAUCCGAGCAAAAAUCAUUUCAAGAAGUGGAUGAUGUCUGGAAAAUCAACGACAUAUGCUAGUUUUGUUGCCGCUCAGGAAAUAGUCAGGCAUGGGAAGCAGUUUACAGAUGUUGAAUAUAUAAAAGAAUCUUUCAUUAAGAUUUCUGAACAUCUAUUCACGGACUAAAAACAAGAGUGAAAUUGUGCAGAAAAUCAGGGAUAUGCCCCUCUCUGCAAAGACUGUCAAAAACAGAACCAUAAAAAUGGCAGAAGACAUCAGAAGACAGUAAAUUAAAGACAUCAAUUCAGCUGUGGCCUACUCGAUUGCCUGUAACGAGUCUAAAGACAAAGGUGAUAUUGAGCAAAUAGCGCUGUUCUGCCGGUAUGUAAACUCUGCCAGGCCACAGGAAGAAAUGAUUGAGUUGAUUCCUCUAAAAGGCCAAAUACGGGGGGAGGACAUCUGUGAGGCUGUCUUGAAUUGUUUAAGAGCCAAAGCAAUAAAGACCACCCACCUGGUGUCAGUAACUACUGAUGGGGCACCAAGUAUGACAGGAGAGCACAAGGGAUUUGUGGCUUUACUGCAGAAGUCGCUGGACAGAAAGCUGCUGACUUUUCACUGCAUCAUGCACCAAGAGGCACUGUGCGCUCAAACAUUUCCUCCGGAAUGCACAGAAGUAAUAGAUGUUGUCAUUCAGAUUGUCAAUAAAAUAAUGGCAAAAAGUUUAAAUCACCGUCAAUUCCGUUUGUUACUGGACGAGCUGGAAAGCGCAUAUUCUGAUCUCCUGCUGCACAACAAAAUCCGGUGGUUGUCAAGUGGGGAGGUGCUGAAACGCUUUGUCGCGUGUCUGGAAGAAGUGAAAACUUUCCUGGGCAGCAAAGGUCUCACCUUUCCUGAGCUGGAACAGCCAGAGUGCCUGUAAAAGCUACACUUCAUGGUAGACAUGACAGCGCACCUGAACACGCUGAACACAGCUCUUCAGGGGAAAGGAUGCACAGCCCUGCACAUGUUGGAGGAUGUUUUGGCAUUCCAGCGCAAGUUGACAGUGCUUGCCAGAGAUUUACAGAAAGGCACAUUGUCUCACUUCCCCAAUUUGAGAGAGUUCAAACAAGCUCACGACAUGAUAAAUUCAAAGUAUUUACAUUCUGCAGUCAUCGCAAUGCAAACAUCGUUUGGGAAAUGCUUCUGUGAGGUCAGAGAGGUAAAAAACACAUUAUCCUUCCCGGUCACUCCCCUAAGCAUCGAUCCAUCCCACUGAAUACAACUGCAUUGGUAGGUGUGAGUCAACCUGAUAUUGAGAUGAAACUGGCCGACAUAGCCGACAAAGACAUAUGGGUGUCCAAGUUUAGACGCUUGACAGCAGACCUUGAAGAUGUUGCCCAUCAGAAGGCCGUUCUUGCUCAGAAUCACAAAUGGAGUGAUAUUGAAAACCUUCCCAAAUCGGACAAAGUUGUGUUCGAAACAAGGAAUGCUAUCCCCGACACUUAUGUAAACAUUAAAAAGUAUGCACUUGGCAUCCUGUCGAUCUUUGGAUCCACAUAUGUGUGUGAGCAGGUGUUCUCCAACAUGAACUUUAUUAAAAACAAACAUCGCGCACGCCUCACAGAUGACAGCUUGCGAUCCUGUGUAAAGAUGAAGGUGACGUCAUACAGCCCUGAUGUGCAGACGCAGUGCGCUGAGGUCCAGGAGAAGAAAUUCCAUUAACCAAGUUGACAGCUGGCUGACGUUAUUUUUGGUUUGCUGCUGGAGGACAAUUUAAGUUCGGCGUUUUUCAUAAAUACAAGAAGGACUCAAAUAGACAUUGAUUAUUUUACUUAAAAGUAAACUUCAACCCAACGUCUUUUUUUCGGAGUUCAAAAUGUUUUUGUUGCAUGCAGAAAUGUAAUUUCGUUUUCUCUGCAGGAGUUCAUCAAUUUCAUAAAUGCAAUACAUUAUAGUUUGUUUAUACAUAGCAUAAAGGCAAAAAAAAACGUUGUAUGCAGUGUUAUUUCAUUUUAAAUGUCAAACGGGUUUUGUGGCUCCCAGUGUUUUCUUUUCUAUGGGAGACGGGUCCAAAUGACUCUUUCAGUGGUAAAGGUUGCCGACCCCUGGUUUAGGGGAUGAGCAUAUUAAAGGGUGGCAGUGUAUUUUGAUAAACAAUGGGAAGAUUUGUGAGAAAUGAGAUGUUUCAGAGUACCACAGAUGAUGACUUUACAUUGGCUGAACUGAAAUUUGCUGUCAAUUAUGCGAGUACGACAGCCCCAGGACAAGAUAUAGUUCAGUAUCAUAUGCUCGAGCAUCUGCCUGGGACCGUCCUAAAGAAGUUGCUUGAGUUUGAUCAUGUCUGGAAGCAAGGACUGCUCCUAGGAGAAUGGGAAAGGACUGUGGUGUUGCCUAUUAUUAAACUUGGGAAGUAUCAACGCUGCCAAA